rnacentral:rRNA from 1 species
UACGAAGGGGGCUAGCGUUGUUCGGAAUUACUGGGCGUAAAGCGCUCGCAGGCGGAUUGAUAAGUCGGGGGUGAAAUCCCGGGGCUCAACCUCGGAAUUGCCUUCGAUACUGUCUAUCUAGAGUCCGGGAGAGGUGAGUGGAAUUCCUAGUGUAGAGGUGAAAUUCGCAGAUAUCAGGAAGAACACCAAUGGCGAAAGCAGCUCUCUGGGACGGUACUGACGCUGAGACGCGAAAGCGUGGGGAGCGAACAGG